GUGGAGUUCUAUCUACCAUACAGAAUAAACUGACAAAGCACAGAGAGACCAGGAUAAGAGCUCUGUGAAAAUGGUAACUGUCAGGCUGACACUGACCCCAUCUAAGAGACUAACAACAGCCCAGUGACUUCAGGAGCUUUAUUUAGAAACCACUAUCAGAUCACUGCUGAAAAAUUCAAGUAAACUGAGACAAGAAGAGGAAUGAGAUUUAUUAGCUUUCACACAGGGUGAAAACAGCAAGAGCUAGAACAAUAUGAUGCAUUUUAAGUUCAUUCUAAAAUGCAGUAAAAAGCUUAUGA